UACGGAGGGGGCUAGCGUUGUUCGGAAUUACUGGGCGUAAAGCGCACGUAGGCGGCUUGCCAAGUCAGAGGUGAAAGCCCGGGGCUCAACUCCGGAAUUGCCUUUGAAACUGGUUGGCUUGAACACGGGAGAGGUGAGUGGAAUUCCGAGUGUAGAGGUGAAAUUCGUAGAUAUUCGGAAGAACACCAGUGGCGAAGGCGGCUCACUGGACCGUUGUUGACGCUGAGGUGCGAAAGCGUGGGGAG
rnacentral:rRNA from 1 species